CAUCACAAGGCAAAAAAAGCUACUUCAAGAAAUAUAAUUGAAGUGAAAAGACUCACCCUAUAAAGUAUCCAGAGAUCAAGGGCAAGUACCACCCCAAUCACCUACUCUGAUAAGAUCUCAAAAAUACUAUACUAGAAGCAGGCAGGUGUAUGCCACAGUUGUGUCAAAAGUUUCAAGGUUCUAACCAC